rnacentral:rRNA from 1 species
ACUCGUGGCCAUACCAACCUGUCAUUCCCCAAUCCCAUUAGAUCUCUGAAGCUAAGCAGGUCUGGGCCUGGUUAGUAGUUGGAUGGAAGACCACUGAGAAUUCCAGGUGCCACAGUC